rnacentral:lncRNA from 1 species
CUACCACAAUCCAGGUAGGAGGUGACAGUGCUGCAGCCAGGCUGCACGGCGAAGGAUGGGAGGGGCCCCCGGAGAAACCUGAAUCAGCCCUUCCCGCUGAGGCAUAUUGCCCAAUAAAGUAGAGGGGUGAAUUCGAAGCAAGACCUCAAGCAGGGGGUGAAGCGGACAUGAUGUAGAGAAGCUGCUGCUGAUGGCAAUGGGACCAGAAAAGGGGGGCCUAAGGAAGAGAGAACAUGAGAAGCAAAAAGGGCAGCCCCUUAACCUUCAACCUCAGAGGCUCGUGUGGGAGAAACCCAGUCAGGUCUGAGGGGAGAUCUCACAGCAAGGGGGUGGGUGGGACUUGACUCAGAUUGCAGUGGGGAGAAAUUUUAAUGACACCCCCUCCCUAGCAAACCAGCGAUGCAAGAUGGUGCCAGCACAAUAUGGUGCCAGUGAGGAGGUGGUUUGGAAUGGCUGAGGAAGGGAGUCUGGGAAGUGGCUUCAUGCAACGCUGCUCGUUCUAGUGAGAAUGCAGCCAGGUAGUCCUAGGUCCCAGGGGCCGCAGAGCCAAGAUCUGCCUCACCAGCUAUGUGCAGGGACCAUGCACUUUGGCUUCACCUCUUCCUGCCCCUACCCCACCAGCAAGCCCCAGGGACCAGGCAGGACCAUCUCUGUCCUGCGCGCGCGCGCGUGUGUGUGUGUGUGUGUGUGUGUAAGAAUGCAGGGGACUCCACUCAGACCUUCAACCCUCUUGUCCCACCACCGUGAGGCCCAUGAACAUCUCUCUGCACCAGGAAAUUAUCUUGGCUGGGAGAAGGCGGAAGGGUGAGAAAACCUUGGAAUACUGAGCAAUUUUACUCAAAAGAGACUGAGUUAAUCAUACAGAAAUGGAGCUAUGUCUAAGGGGCAAUUUAAUGGUUUCUUUUUGUUUGUUUUCUUUUUGCCCGUCAGUAGUAGGAAUUAUCAGAUCACGAUGAGAAGAGUAUAAGAAAAAGUAAGAACAAUACUGGUUUGACCCAUCUGGGUAGGUGUGUGUGUGUGAUCUUUAGCCCUCCCACAAUUAUGUCUGUACACGUUUGCUGGGGCAACUGUAUAUUUUCAAUUCCAAUCGUCAGACCUUUCCUUGAAGCUCACGUGUGUUUUGAUCUGGCCAGGAAUUGAGAAUCAUAAAAUCAUUAAAUCUGUAUUAAUUACCUAUUGCUGCAUAGUAAGUUAAUCCAAAAUUUAGCUGAAAUAAAUAUGUAUUAUCUCA